GCCGAGGUGGCGGAAUUGGUAGACGCGCUGGCUUCAGGUGCCAGUGUCUUCACAGACGUGCUGGUUCGAGUCCAGUUCUCGGUACCA
rnacentral:tRNA from 1 species